AUUGAACGCUGGCGGCAGGCCUAACACAUGCAAGUCGAGCGAGCGGCGGACGGGUGAGUAAUGUAUGGGGAUAUGCCCGAUAGAGGGGGAUAACUACUGGACACGGUGGCUAAUACCGCAUACUAUCGGCUGAACCCAUAGGGGAUUAGAUAGUAGGUGGGGGAAAGGCUCACCUAGGCUACGAUAUCUAGCUGGUCUGAUAGGAUGAUCAGCCACACGGGGACGGAGACACGGCCCAGAAUCCUCCGGUAGGCAGCAGCGGGAAAUAUUGCACAAUGGGCGAAAGCCUGAUGCAGCCAUGCCGCGUGUAUGAAGAAGUUUUUAGGGUUGUAAAGUACUUUCAGCGGGGAGGCGUUACCCGCAGAAGAAGCAACGGCUAACUCCGUGCCAGCCGCCGCGGUAAUUC
rnacentral:rRNA from 1 species